rnacentral:rRNA from 1 species
AUAUUCCUGUACCACCUACAAGACUGAUGGAGUGACAAAGAAGGCUAAGCAAAGCCAAUUAUUGGAUUUUGGUCUAAGCACAAAGGCGUGUUGAGUAAGCAAAUCUAUCAACUGUAACGCUGAAGUGUGAUGGGGAAAAAGUUCUACGGAACUUCAACUUUGCUGAAGCCAUGCUUUCAAGAAAAACUUCUAGGGCUAAUCUUGUAGGUGCCUGUACUCAGAACCGACACUGGUAGUCAAGGAGAGAAUCCUAAGGUGAGCGAGAUAACUAUGGUUAAGGAACUCGGCAAAAUGACCCCGUAACUUCGGAAUAAGGGGAGGUGUAGCGAUACACCCUCAGGAAAUAGGUCCAGGCAACUGUUUACCAAAAACACAGGUCUCUGCUAAAGCGUAAGCUGAUGUAUAGGGGCUGACGCCUGCCCAGUGCUGGAAGGUUAAGAGGAGAUGUUAGUUGGACGCAAGUUGAUAACAACGAAGCUUCGAAUUGAAGCCCCAGUGAACGGCGGCCGUAACUAUAACGGUCCUAAGGUAGCGAAAUUCCUUGUCAGGUAAGUUCUGACCCGCACGAAAGGCGUAAUGAUCUGGAUACUGUCUCAACCAUAGACUCGGUGAAAUCUUAAUACCUGUGAAAAUGCAGGUUACCCGCUACAGGACAAAAAGACCCCGUGGAGCUUUACUGCAACUUGAUAUUGGAAUCAGAUGUAUCAUGUAGAGGAUAGGUGGGAGACUUUGAAGUUAGGACGUCAGUUCUAAUGGAGUCAUCCUUGGAAUACCACCCUUGAUAUGUUUGAUUUCUAACUUGCGCCCAUUAUCUGGGUGGAGGACAGUGUCUGGUGGGCAGUUUGACUGGGGCGGUCGCCUCCCAAAGAGUAACGGAGGCGCCCAAAGGUUCCCUCAGAAUGGUUGGAAAUCAUUCGUAGAGUGUAAUGGCAGAAGGGAGCUUAACUGCGAGACCUACAAGUCAAGCAGAUGCGAAAGCAGGGCAUAGUGAUCUUGCGAUCCCGAAUGGAAGGGUCGUUGCUUAACGGAUAAAAGUUACCCCGGGGAUAACAGGCUGAUCCCACCCAAUAGUUCAUAUAGACGGUGGGGUUUGGCACCUCGAUGUCGGCUCGUCGUAUCCUGGAGGUGGAAUCGCUUCCAAGGGUUGGGCUGUUCGCCCAUUAAAACGGCACGCGAGCUGGGUUCAGAACGUCGUGAGACAGUUCGGUCUCUAUCCGUAGUGGGCGUUAGAAAAUUGAGGAGUGCUUUUCCUAGUACGAGAGGACCGGAAAGGACGAACCGAUGGUGUAUCUGUUGUCACGCCAGUGGCAGUGCAGAGUAGCUAUGUUCGGAAGGGAUAAUCGCUGAAGGCAUCUAAGCGAGAAGCCCUCUCCAAGAUGAGUUUUCUUUAUCUUCAAGAUAUAAGAUCCCUUGUAGACGACAAGGUUGAUAGGUUAGAUGUGUAAGCAUAGUGAUAUGUUGAGCUGACUAAUACUAAUAGAUCGACAAU